UCCUGGGGGCGGCGCUAUAAAAACCCGGAUGCCUGUCUGCACCCAGACUCACCGACCCAGACCACUCAGAGUGUAUGACCCUGCCCUUGGGUAGGGAGGGUUCCCUAGGUAGUGCCCUUUGGGCCAGGAGGGAAAAUCACCAAAUAAGCACCCUGCGGCGUGUUGGGCGCAGGCUUUGGUGCAGUGGACUGAGGAGGAGACCGGUACACCUUCUGUCUCUAACAAGAUUCUGGUAUAAAUGCAAGGAUGGGGAGCAGAGCCAGGAGAGGGGACUGUCUUGUUUUAGCCUCCCAAAGGAAAGGGUGUCUCAGGGACCAGCUCAGUGGGAGAGUGCUUGGCAGUAUGAACAAAGUCCUGACUCUUCCCCUUUGGUAGUUCUGCGACACUGGGCAAAGGCAAUUAUGCUCUGCGCAUCGUUUCUUUUUCCGUAAAGUGGGGUUGCUAACUGUCAUGGCCACCUCACAGGACCAGUGUGAGGACGGCACACGAGGAUGCAAUGCGACCUCCGAUCAGUGGCCGACGCCUCCUUGGAAGGCAGUGCUUGCUAUCCAUCAGGAACAUGGCCAGCCGGAGACUGGAAAUUUUAAGUAACUCCCAUGUUUGUCUAUCUUGGAGCUCUUCUCAAAUCUGCACACCUGCUUUAACCACUCCUAUGACUACCUAACCAAGAGCUUCCCAGGUACGCUGCUGAUGGAGUCUUAGCUCUCCUGAGACCACCUAGAGAAGACAUUAGAAACCGGAGGCUCGUUUCUAAAGAUCAUCACCUUCCUCAGGCUGUGGGGGUGAGACUCCCUGAACACCUCCCGCUGUGCAGGCUCCGGUGGAUGGCUCCGUAUGCCAGUUUUUGUUUGUUUGUCUGUUUGUUUUUAAAGUUUGCUAAUAGACUCACUCCACAGGCAUCACUCAAGAGACCCAAAGCUGACGUGUAGGGCUCCUGUCCUAACCCCCCAGCCAAGCUUCCUGAGUACAUUUGGAUCCUGCAGCCCUAUAGUGGGGCUUGCUCGGUAUGCCCUCCCACAACCCUGUCCGAACAGAAGGCUUUUUUGAUGGUAAGGACAGUGUCCUUCUUGAAUUCUCGUCACCAAGCAAAAAUGCCGGACAGGCUGUCUGAUGCUCACGUAGUAUUCAUUAUCGGUGUGAGGACAACAAGAGACUGCAGACUGGGUCCGCGCCUCCCUUCUCCGGGCCUCAGCCUUCUCCAGCUCUUAGGCUGCCCCUGGACCAGCAGUUAUUCUCCCGCUGCUCAGGGUCCACUCUAUUUUUCCAUCUGAGCUGUGCCAACUAGUUUUACUUCAACUUGCCACAAGCUAGAGUAAUCUGAAAGGAGGGAACCUUCAUUGAAAAAAAGGCCUUCAUAAGAUGCAGCCGUAAGGCAUUUUCUCAGUGAUUGAUGGGGGAGGGCCCAGCCCAUCGUGAAUGGUGCCUGGGUUCUGAGAAAUCCAUGAUGAAGAAGCCAGUAAGCAGGACCCCUCCAUGGUAUCUGCAUCAGUUCCUGCCUCCCGGUUCCUGCCUUAUUUGAGUUUCUGUCCUGAACUCUUUCAACAAUGAACAGUGAUUUGGAAGGUCAAUCAGCUUGUCCAGUCAACCGCCACGCUGCGUCCUCUGUGCAAACAUCGUCAUGGCUCCCACAGCCGAGGCUGUCAUCAGCUUGCAAUCCUUAGCCUGAGACACCAGCGGAUCUUUUUGCCUCCGUUCUUGCUUCCUGGCUAAUCCAUCAUUCUCACCUCUGCUGACAGUUCUUCCAUGAUGGGCGGAGAAGAUGAGUCCAUGGGGCCCGGCCUAGAAUCGCUGCUCAGAAAGCAUGCGGGAGCUGACUGACGGACUCUCAUGGCUGUCGUGAGGAGGAAACACGUACUGGAGUGUGUCUUCAAGACACUACUCGGAAGACCGGCAGUUUAUGGUGAAGCUGGACCCACACUGCCAUGACAACAGCUUUCCUCCUUCGUGGGCACCAAAGAGAAAUGACGGCACACUCCUGAAAGAUGCCUGCCGCAAGAACGCCUACAGUGGCCUGGUGAUAACCGUCAACGCCUGGAAACGGGUGAGGCCAUCAGGAAGAGACCAGACAUGCACACACGUGUCUUUUUCAUUUGUACAUCGGAAAUCCACUGGCAAGGAAGAGUUUCUGUUGGUGUGCCUCCUGCACUUGUGGGGGCAGUGUGUUGAUCAAAGGUCACUGCUCUCAGAAAGAGAGGACACGCUGCCUGAGUCUAUUUAUGUGGGAUUCAGAAUGGAGCAAACUGUCCUGGGUGUGCCCCAUGACCCCUUCCAGAGCCAUUCAUGGGCCUAGGGUGAUGCACACAGCUUUUUUACAUAGAGUGAGACACACUGGUGUGUGGGGGGGAUGGGUUUGCAUUGACAAAUGGUGCUGGGGUCAGCGCGGAUGCCGUGGGUGGAAAGAAUGUCUUAGCCCUGGUAAUUUUGGAAAGCUAUGUGUAAGGCUGCAUUCACCAACAAAGGCUUGCAGAACAGCUGGGAAAACAGAGCGCUUUCAAAGACCACCGCGGAGGAAGCUGCGGCCCCGCGCGAGAGUUGGAUCCCGAAAUGGCACACACGUGGAGAGUGUGACCCCAGCAGUGACCGCUGCUCUGGCAGGUGGCUUCCUGCCCAGGCAGGGAGGGGAGGUGGUGAUGGCUGGGAAGGAAAACGGUGAUAAAUCUUUUUGAAAGCCAUAAGCCCUGGUCCUUGGGGUUGUGCUGGUUGAGGGUGUUCCUCCACCCAGUGGAAGGAGACAGUCAUUGGGGGCCCUUUUCGCUGCAUCUAAAAUUGCGGCAAGAGCACACAGAACAGGAAGAGCACACAAAAAAUACCUGUGAGGUAUCUAUUUAAUAGACCAUAUAUCAAUCAAAACUCCAGAGGCAACAUACAGAAGGACAAUGCCUUCUUCCGGGUCUCUCUCCCGGAAGCAGCUCUGCAACCAUUUCCUCUGUCAUACAUCUAUCUUGUUGCAACAAUGGCUUUAGCCGGUUGGAAAACACAAAGAUUAAAAUGAACUGCUCGAUGUGUACCCAGAAUUUGGUGAACCUUACAGUCAGCAAAUUCAGAAAAAGGUAUAAUGACAGGGCCAUGGGAAUGGGCUAUGUGCGGGGGGUAGGGGUUGGGUUGCAGAUGUGCACCUGUGGGACUAUUUGGCGGUGCUGUUCAUUAGUCACUCACGUGGUACUUACAAUGUGUGCUCUCCUCGGGUGUCCUGCCUUCAGACUGGUGGAGGAAAGAGUGGAUGAGAAGUUGGAAAAGUGUUUUGUUGUUCUUCACAUCUGGUUUCCAAAGGAGAGCCUGCAGAUGUGUAGAUGGAGGUUACUUGUGCAUUUCCUGGGAGCCCAGACCCGAGUAAAUCACAUAGAAACUGUAUUAACUACAAUACUGUUUGGCCAAUAGCUUAAGCAUAUUUCUAGCUAGUUCUUA